CUAACAUUGGUGUUACUGGAUCUUCCUGGACUUCUGUUUUUCUCCACAUAUACUCUCCUUGUCCUCUUUUGGGCAGAGAUCGAUCAUCAGGCUAGAUAUCUACCAACUGAUAAGCUGAGGCUUGUUUACAUAUUGCUAAACGCUGGAAUUUACUUCAUACAGGUUUGUAUCUGGAUUUUUCUCUGGUUGUAUAACAAUGAAGCAUUGGAAACCGUAGGACGGAUCUUUAUUGCAGCUGUCUCAUUUGUUGCUGCGAUCAGUUUCUUGUUUUAC